rnacentral:rRNA from 1 species
UACGUAGGGGGCAAGCGUUGUCCGGAAUUAUUGGGCGUAAAGCGCGUGUAGGCGGCUCGGUAAGUCUGCUGUGAAAGUCCAAGGCUCAACCUUGGAAAGCCGGUGGAUACUGUCGAGCUCGAGUCCGGAAGAGGCGAGUGGAAUUCCUGGUGUAGCGGUGAAAUGCGCAGAUAUCAGGAGGAACACCAAUUGCGAAGGCAGCUCGCUGGGACGUAACUGACGCUGAGACGCGAAAGCGUGGGGAGCAAACAGG